GCACAGAGGAAGGGCAUUGAUUAAUAUCGAUUGACGUUUUAUCUCUCAAUUUGUAGAAGCUCUAUGUACGUCGGUGAAGGGGUGCUGGUUAGGAUCUAUAGUACAGCUAGGUUGAUCCUUGCAACAAAUAGGAGUUCCAUAUUUGGUAAGCAACUAUGUUUCUAAAUGAGCAUAAGUUCUGUUCUCACUAUUGCAAAUUGAAGCACCAUAUUUGUUGAG
rnacentral:misc_RNA from 1 species